AAUGGAGUGAAUCGGCCGCCAUCAUUUCUCUUGGAGCUUCUAUCCUUUGGAGUUCCACGAUGGAGGGAACGGGGCAUGGUGGCCGUACACGUGGUGGCCGAACACGUGGUCCCUGCGUCGGGCGGCGGACUGGAGAUGCGUUGGAACGUUCUUCUCUCUCCUGAAGUGCGCCCUGCUUGCCCUUCAUCCUCCCUGUAGUCCUCAUGACUGGAAUCUGGAGUUUUCCCAGUUUUGGCUGCUCAAGGAAAAUGUGCUGGAAUCAACAGGCUGUGUCCAGUCAUCUGUCCAGCAUGGCUGUAGAAAGAACAGGAGCAGAAAAUUUGCGGCAUUCCACAUCUGAAACGAGGUGCAGAAGAACAUGAGUGCAUGUGGACCCCUUCUACAUUUGCCCAUAUGCUGCUAAAUCGCUCAGUCUAUUGGUGAUUUGUCUGUUGAAGUAGCUGGAAAUACAGGCAUACUCUAGUUAAACAUUUAAAGGUCCCUUAUGAAAAUGUGACUGAGAUUAUUAAUAACAUUGCUACUAUUUGCCCUAGCUGGUCUAAGGUCUUGCGGUGGCUAGUAAUGGUGAUAGGCCUAAAAGCGGCAGUGUAGAGUGUCUGAUCGGGAAUUUGUCCCCAUAUGCCAUAAGGGGAAAGGUUUUUUUUUUUUUUUUUUUUUUUUUUUUCCCUCUCCCCCCUCCUCUCUCUCCCUUCCUUCUCCCACCCAGAGAAUUUCCCACACCUCCCCAAAACAUCUUCCCCUGACAGUCAUGGCUUCCAAACAUGCAAAGCAUUGCAGUUGAUUGGUGAUUGAUGUAAAAAAUGAGCACAUGUAUUUUUCUUUUAGUUCAGAAAGACUGAACCAGUUGGUUCAUUUCAUUGAUCCAUUAUCCAAUAAGACUGAUUUAUUUAUUUAUUUAUUUUUCCUUUUGUCAGGGGACCUUUAAACUGUUGAGCCUGUGCAGGCAGAAUCUAUAUGCUGCUGGGGCUGGUUUCAGUAGUGAAAUACUUUAUAUUAUGUCUUGUUGCUCACCUGUGUGUUAAUGGUCACCUGGCUAUGACUGCGACUAUCUUAAUUGUAUGAAUGGUUUUUAGUACUGAUUUACAGUUGUGAUAACAUAAAUAUACAUUGAUUUUUAUUUAUUUAUUUUUCCCUAUUCAAUAAACUAAAACUGGGAGAUCA
rnacentral:lncRNA from 1 species